rnacentral:rRNA from 1 species
AUUGAACGCUGGCGGCAUGCCUUACACAUGCAAGUCGAACGGUAACAGGUCUUCGGAUGCUGACGAGUGGCGAACGGGUGAGUAAUACAUCGGAACGUGCCUAGUAGUGGGGGAUAACUACUCGAAAGAGUGGCUAAUACCGCAUGAGAUCUACGGAUGAAAGCAGGGGAUCGCAAGACCUUGUGCUACUAGAGCGGCCGAUGGCAGAUUAGGUAGUUGGUGGGAUAAAAGCUUACCAAGCCGACGAUCUGUAGCUGGUCUGAGAGGACGAUCAGCCACACUGGGACUGAGACACGGCCCAGACUCCUACGGGAGGCAGCAGUGGGGAAUUUUGGACAAUGGGCGCAAGCCUGAUCCAGCAAUGCCGCGUGCAGGAUGAAGGCCUUCGGGUUGUAAACUGCUUUUGUACGGAACGAAAAGCCCUGGGUUAAUACCCUGGGGUCAUGACGGUACCGUAAGAAUAAGCACCGGCUAACUCUGUGCCAGCAGCCGCGGUAACAC